rnacentral:rRNA from 1 species
GACGAACGCUGGCGGCGUGCUUAACACAUGCAAGUCGAACGGAAAGGCCCUGCUUUUGUGGGGUGCUCGAGUGGCGAACGGGUGAGUAACACGAGUGUAACCUGCGCUUGACUUUGGGAUAACUUCAGGAAACUGGGGCUAAUAGCUGAUAGUAGCUCCUGCUGCGUGGUGGGGGUUGGAAAGUUUCGGCGGUUGGGGAUGGACUUGCGGCUUAUCAGCUUGUUGGUGGGGUAGUGGCUUACGAAGGCUUUGACGGGGAGCCGGCCUGAGAGGGUGACCGGCGACAUGGGGAAGGAGACACGGCCCAGACGCCGACGGGAGGAAGCAGUGGGGAAUAGUGCCCUAUGGGCGGAAGCCUGAGGCAGCAACGCCGCGUGCGGGAUGACGGCCUUCGGGUUGUAGACCGCUUUCGCCUGUGACGAAGCGUGAGUGACGGUAAUGGGUAAAGAAGCACCGGCUAACUACGUG